rnacentral:rRNA from 1 species
CGCUUAUAUUUAUUCAUAUAAGUAUGGUCUGCUCAAUGAAAUUUAAAUAGCCGCAGAAUUCUGUGCUAAGGUAGCAUAAUCACUUGUUUCUUAAUUAGGAAAUAGUAUGAAAGAUCCAACAUUUAACUAUCUUUUUUCCCUUUACAUCAAUUAAACUAUGUUAAGAAAUAAAAACAUUCUUAUUAAUUAAUAAGACGACAAGACCCUGUUGAACUUAACUAAUUGUUUAGCUGGGGCAGCUAAUAAAUUAAUACUUUCAUUCAUUAAACUAAAAUAAAAAUCCAAUAAAAUUGAAUAAAUAAAGUUACCAUAGGGAUAACAGCGUAAUAUAUUGUAAUAGCUCAUAUUUAACAAUAAGUUUACGACCUCGAUGUUGAAUACCUUUCUCUAGGACGAAGUAGUUUGAGAAGAAAGUCUGUUCGACUUUUAAAAAGGUACA